rnacentral:rRNA from 1 species
UACGGGGGAGCAAGCGUUGUUCGGAUUUACUGGGCGUAAAGGGCGCGUAGGCGGUCAGCACAAGUCAGUUGUGAAAUCUCCGGGCUUAACUCGGAAAGGUCAACUGAUACUGUGCGACUAGAGUGACGGGAAGGGCAACUGGAAUUCUCGGUGUAGCGGUGAAAUGCGUAGAUAUCGAGAGGAACACCUGCGGCGAAGGCGGGUUGCUGGGCCGACACUGACGCUGAUGCGCGAAAGCCAGGGAGCGAACGGG